GUGAUUUUCGCUUAAAUGUUGGAUUCUCUGAGAGAAAACGCGUGAUUUUCGCUUAAAUGGGGGAUUUCCGAAGAGAAAACGCAUGAUUUUCUGGUUAAAUGGGGGAUUUGCGAAGAGAAAACACAUGAUUUUUGCUUAAAUGGGGGAUUUGAGAAAACGCGUGAUUUUCGUUAAAUGUUGGAUUCUCGAAGAGAAAACGCGUGAUUUUCGCUUAAAUGGGGGAUUUGAGAAAAGAAAACGCGUGAUUUUCAGGUUAAAUGGAAGAUUCCUGAAGAGAAAACGCGUGAUUUUCGCUUAAAUGGGGGAUUUGUGAAGAGAAAACUUGUGUUUUUCGCUUAAAUGGGGGAUUUGCAAAUUGAAAAUGUGCGAUUAUCGGGUAAAUGGGGGAUUUUCGAAGAGAAAACACGUGUUUUCCACAUAAAUGGGGGAUUUGCGAAGAGAAAACACGUGUUUUUCGCUUAAAUGGGGGAUUUGCGAAGAGAAAACGCGUGGUUUUCGGGUUAAAUGGAAGAUUCCUGAAGAGAAAACGCGUGAUUUUCGGGUUAAAUGGCGGAUUUGUGAAGAGAAAACGAGUGUUUUUCGCUUAAACGGGGAAUUUGUGAAGAGAAAACGCGUGAUUUUCGGUUAACUGGGAAAUUUUCGAAGAGAAAACACGUGUUUUCCACAUAAAUGGGGGAUUUGCGAAGAGAAAACACGUGAUUUUCAGGUUUAAUGGAAGAUUCAUGAAGAGAAAACGCGUGAUUUUCAAGUUAAAUGGGGGAUGUCCGAAGAGAAAACGCGUGAUUUUCGCUGAAAUGGGGUAUUUGAGAAGAGAAAAUUUGUG
ensembl:lncRNA